CUCCACUGGAGUUUUAAGCUCCAUGAAGGGCAGAAAAUUCAUAUCUCUUGUUCACUGCUGUAUUUCUAGUGUUUAGAACUGUGCUUGGCAGAUGAUGUCUUGGGUAUGGAAUGUGGGAGAAGAAGGAGGAGUCAAGAAUGACCCCAAGGUUUUUACUUCAGCAAUUAGAAGGUUGGAGCUGCCAUCAAUAGAGAUGGACAAGACUGGAGAAGAACCAGAAACAAACCCAUCAAUAUCCGGAGAACCCUAUCCAAGAAGGAAUUGCUCCGAAGAUAUUCAAUCCCCAAGUGUUUUGAAAACAGAUGCCAGCUAUGCCAAAUGAGUCCUUGAAACAGCUAAAUCACAUCCUGAUUUGAAGCAGCAAGUUAAAAGCUUACCCAUCUUUAAUGAUAGGAGGUAGAACCAAGUGCUCAGAAGAUUAAAGUAUUGUGAUCAUGAGGCUGAGGUCCUGGGCUCAAAUCCUGUGUGGCUCAU